rnacentral:rRNA from 1 species
AACGAACGCUUGCGGCAUGCCUAACACAUGCAAGUCGAACGAGACCUUCGGGUCUAGUGGCGCACGGGUGCGUAACGCGUGGGAAUCUGCCCUUGGGUUCGGAAUAACAGUUAGAAAUGACUGCUAAUACCGGAUGAUGACAUCGGUCAAAAGAUUUGUUGCCCAGGGAUAAGCCCGCGUAGGAAUAGCUUGUUGGUGGGGUAAAAGCCCACCAAGGCGACGAUCCUUAGCUGGUCUGAGAGGGUGAUCAGACACACUGGGACGGAGACACGGCCCAGACCCCUUCGGGAGGCAGCAGUGGGGAAUAUUGGACAAUGUGCGAAAGCUUGAUCCAGCAAUGCCGCGUGAGUGAUGAAGGCCUUAGGGUUGCAAAGCUCUUUUACCCGGGAUGAUAAUGACAGUAACGGGAGAAUAAGCCCCGGCUAACUCUGUGCCAGCAGCCGCCGUAAAAC